UGGAAAGGUAGAAGCAGGGUGAAAUUAACCAGAAAAAAAAUACAAAGAUGGAUGUAAUGGAAAAUGAAAGGGUAAGCUGUUGAACAACGGAAUUGGAUUAGUUGGAAAUAAAUCAAGAGAAUAACAAGCUGGGUAAAGAAGUGUCAGGUUGCUGGAGCAGGGAUCCAAUCGCAGACCCAGUACUCACACAGUGAUAGUAAUUGAGUAACAAAUCCCAAGGUGCAAACAAAGUUGGCAUCAAAGUUCAGGCAGAGAUCAAAACAUCCAGAUAAAUCCAGUGACCAGAAUUGGGAAACAGGCAGAGUCAAUAUUCAGGCAGCCAGAGUACAGAUAAGAAAACUGGAAAGGCUUGGGAAAACUCACUGGCACAAUCUGGCAAUAAACAGGUGAAGACACAGGACUGAAAUACACUGAGCAAUAAACAGAGAGGCAGAUGACAGGUGGAGCACAACGAGACAGAAGUUUCAUUGAGAUAGAAGUGGCAGCAAAACAGGUAAUAAUGAGAGGCAGAAUACUCGAUAAUACAGGGGCCGGAGUAGAGCAGGAGCACAUGGGACAUGAAAACAUACAAGAGCACGUGGCAAUGCAAAACCACAGGCUGAUGGCUAGGGGGAAAAAUACACAAAAAUACAAAGUUCAACUGGAGGUACAAGAAGACUCAAGAAAUCCUGGAAAUAUUCAAAAUAAUGGAUAGCAGCAGUGGAAAGGAAGAGAGAGAGUUAUAAUUUAAGGUUGAUCCAUCAGGCAUGAAAAGGAGAGUGUAGCAACUUCUCUCAACUCAAAAGUUUUGGGCGCCUUAUCUAAGAAAUGUUGUGCUGACAUUGGAGAGGUUUCAAAAGAGGUUCACAGAAAUGAUUCUGGGAUGGAAAGCACAAAGAUGAGUAAA